AUUUAUAGUCUUUGUCUUUCAGAUAAAACCUGAAACAAAAAUAGAACACGGAAAAAAAAUAUUUUUACGAUGUAAUCCUAAUUAUGAAAUACCAACAGAAGAAUGGUAUCAAGGAGAUGUAGAAAUUACCUGCAAUUCUGGCAAUUUUGAACCAAAACCUGCUUGUCAUCCAGCUCGAUGUAGGAGCCCACCUCCCAUUAAUGGAAAAGGAAGACCUUUGGAAAAUUAUGAAAAUGAGCAUCGAAGUAUUGUUGUAUAUGUCAAUGCAUGUUCGAAAUCAGACAUUAUUUUACAGAAUAAAACGGCAAGAUGCAACUUUGGAAAGUGGCAAGUUCAAGAAGCAAGAUGUAGAAAUACUCGUUGCCAUCCUUACACUUUAAGUCGAAUUGCUGGUUUAUUUAUUAAAGAUUCAAGAUAUUAUGAAUCAGGAGAAUUUCUUGAUGUUCUUUGUAAAGAAGGAUAUGAAAAAUAUAUCAACAAAAUUGCUUGUAAAAAUGGCACUUGGGAAAUUAAAUCUUUACCAUGCAAACC